UAUUAUUAUUAUUAUUUUCUUUCGAAACUCUCCACCCCAUUUCAUUUUCGCCACUUAUCCCUUGUAGGGUUUUUAAAUUUACCCCAUUUGGCCAUUUCUCGCACAACUCAUUUCGCACAGAGGACUCAAAAAAAAAUUGGACCAUUUCGCUAAGCUAUUCUCGCACGCCGCUCAGCCAUUCUCGCCCGCUCACCGCCAACGUUCGCUCAGCCACCGUCCACCGCCGCGCCGAGCCGCACAGCCACCGUUCCCCUUUCUAAAUGUGCAAAGGUAUGAAGUGCCACCCAAUUUUAGAAGGUUAUUGAGUUCAAAGAUGAGAAGACUGCAGAGUUCUGAAUGUUCGUCUGCAAGCUGAACCAGAGACAGAUGAGGUGUAUGCACAAAUAACUUUGCUUCCUGAAACAGAUGUUGUGGGAGGCCUUACUAAAUGACCUAAGCGAGGGGAACAGAAAGGCAGCAUGGAUAGAUAGGGAGCCCUAUGCUUAUUGGAAAGGUAAUCCCGAUGUUACUGAAAAAAGGAUGAAGCUCCUCAAGUGCAAUGUCUCAGACAAUCAGGACUGGAAUGCCCAUCUUUACACUCAGUGAUUGGACGUCUCUCCUACAGGAAUUUUUACCUAGACAAAUUGCAAUUACUCGUGCGAAGAGGGAGUGGGAAUUGGACAUCGUUCUCGGUAUCAAUUGAUGGUAAAAACUUUUAAUUUUAGGUUGAAUUUCAAUAAAAGUUCAGAACUUGCAAGAAGAUGUGUGCUCGUUCCUUUAUCCGUCAAAUCCUCUUUCACUCAUCAUUGAACCCAAAAGUUUCUCCCGUUUUGUGGUAGCCAUUUAUGGUUUAGAACUUUAAAAUAGAUGCUUAUAACUCAUUUGUAGCAACGCUUAAGAAUAGACCAUUUGUAACAAUUGUUUCAAGCUUCUUAUAACUCAUUUGGAAGCUGAAACAAUUGCUACAAAACCUUAUUAGCAUGCAUGUUUAGCUAAUAUUUUGGCAAAUGUAUUUUUGAUGGUGAAACAAUUGCUACAUCUUGAUUUAAAUGAUUGACUAAUGUUUGAUUUCCUUAAAUUGUUAA